rnacentral:rRNA from 1 species
UUUCCGGUUGAUCCUGCCGGAGGCCAUUGCUAUCAGGGUUUGACUAAGCCAUGCGAGUCGAGAGGUGUAAGACCUCGGCAUACUGCUCAGUAACACGUGGUUAACCUGCCCUAAGGUGGAGAAUACUCCCGGGAAACUGGGGCUAAUGCUCCAUAGUGGAUAUGUCCUGGAAUGGUAUAUCCUCGAAAGAUCCGUCGCCUUAGGAUGGGACUGCGUCCGAUUAGGUUGUUGGCGGGGUAACGGCCCACCAAGCCAUUGAUCGGUACGGGUUGUGGGAGCAAGAUCCCGGAGAUGGAUUCUGAGACAUGAAUCCAGGCCCUACGGGGCGCAGCAGGCGCGCAAACUUUACAAUGCGAGCAAUCGUGAUAAGGAAACCCUGAGUGCCUGUCGAUGCAGGCUGUUCAUAUAUCUAAAUCAUAUGUGAAGAAAGGGCAGGGCAAGACCGGUGCCAGCCGCCGCGGUAAUACCGGCUGCUCGAGUGAUGGCCACUAUUACUGGGUUUAAAGCGUCCGUAGCUUGACUGUUAGGCCUCUUGGGAAAUCUUCACGCUCAACGUGAAGGCGUCUAAGAGAUACCGGCAGUCUUGGAACUGGGAGAGGUAAACCGUACUUCGGGGGUAGGAGUGAAAUCUUGUAAUCCUCGAGGGACGACCUAUGGCGAAGGCAGUUUACCAGAACAGCUUCGACAGUGAGGGACGAAAGCUGGGGGAGCAAACGGGAUCAGAUACCCCGGUAGUCCCAGCCGUAAACAAUGUGCGUUA